rnacentral:rRNA from 1 species
UACGAAGGGGGCUAGCGUUGUUCGGAAUGACUGGGCGUAAAGGGCGCGUAGGCGGAUGGCACAGUCAGAUGUGAAAUUCCUGGGCUUAACCUGGGGGCUGCAUUUGAGACGUGUGAUCUGGAGUGAGGAAGAGGGUUGUGGAAUUCCCAGUGUAGAGGUGAAAUUCGUAGAUAUUGGGAAGAACACCGGUGGCGAAGGCGGCGACCUGGUCCUUAACUGACGCUGAGGCGCGAAAGCGUGGGGAGCAAACAGG